rfam:Dipodomys ordii contig_41693, whole genome shotgun sequence.
GGGAAAGUGACUCAGUGGUAGAGUGCUUGCCUUACAUGCAUGAGGCCCUGGGUUGGAAUCCUCAGCACCA